rnacentral:rRNA from 1 species
CCUUGCAGAUCAUAUUUAAUCUCAAAAGCUAAGCAACAUCAGAACUUGUUAGUGCUUGGAUGGGAGACCACCUGGUAAUGAAAAAUAUCCUGGAAGGA